rnacentral:lncRNA from 1 species
AUAGCUGCUUUGCCUCUGCUCGUGCUGAGUAGCACACCUGCCGUGAGUGACUGACCAACUUGGCCAGGCACAGAGGGCAGGAGGGGAGGGGCCUCGGGGUGCAGGGGGUGACAGGUGAGUUGGGGCAUUUUCCACAGUGCAUGCAUGCUGCAUUUUAUCUGAUGCUCACAGCUACCCUCAGAGAGAACCUGAGGCCCAGAGGAGUUGAGGGACUCCCAUUCAGUUCACCUGUGCUGGGCUUAGGUCCUUGGUGUCCAGGCUGCAGCCAUGGCUGGACCACUUGCUUGCCCUCCAAGGCUUUGGGAGGCUAUAGGGGGUGGCGGGAGGCCUGUGGGCCCAGCAGUCACCUGACCUGGGCUCAAAUCUCAGCCGGGCCAGGGACCAACAGUGUGACCUUGGGUCCUCCUUCGAUGGGAGGUUAAUCAUGCCCACCUCGCCAGGCUGUUGGGAGGCUCAGUGAGAGGCGGCGGAGGCCAUCUCCACCCCUGGAACUCUCAAGGGAGUUCUUGUGACUUUCACAAGUAACUGCUAAGUUGCUGUUGCUGAAUCAAAUUCCUGGAGAGCCAGGAAGUAUGUCUGUGGGUGGGAGAGACGUCUGGCACUUCCAGGGGGGCCCCAAGGCUUCCUUCCCACAUGCCUGCCUCCCCCAGCGCCUGGCAGCCCUUGAGAGGGAAGGUAACAGAGGGGCCCAGAGGGUCUGGAACUUACCAUGCCCCUGCUUCCUGCCCACUGUACCUGUCUGCACCCCUGGUUUCCCUGUCUGCAGUUCUGAGUUCAGUAAACGUGGUUUUACUUUCUUUAUAGCACCUGUCGCCACCCAAACUUCUCUGGAUUAUUGAUUGUAUUGUCACUAUUGUCUGCUUCCUCAUCCCCUCCUAGAGUGGCAGUCAUGGAGCAGGGACUUUGUUCACUGCUUUGUGUUGUUGACUGCUGUAGCUCCUGCACCUAGAGCAGUGCCUGGCACACAGCAGGAGUUCAGUCAGUAUUUGCGGCAGGAAGGAAGGAAGGGACAGAGGGAGGGAGAGAGGGUGGAAAUUGUGGGUCCUCUGUGGUCAGCCCUUUGCUGCAAUUGGGGAUGUUGCCUUAGGUUAGAGCCCAACCCUGCUGACAGAGGCUUCCCCUCCAGUGCCAGAGGCAGACACAGACACAGACAGUGACUGUGGGUGUGACCAGCACUGCGACAGAGGGAAGGAGGCACUCUGGCUGGGGAAGCCAGGGCAGAUGGCAUCUGAUCUGCUUCAAGGAGUAGGCCGGGCUGGCUGGGGGCAGGGGGGUUGGGUGGGGGGCUGGGAAGCCUCAGAGAAGCAUCAGCUGAGAAGACAAGGCAAGGAAGAGUCAGGGGGACAAGGGAGGGGCAGCAUUCCAGGCAGAGAGAGCCGAGUGUGCAAAGGCAGGAAGGCAGGAAGGCUGUGUGGAGUUAGAGGCACCUGCUGCUGUCACUGAGUGCAGUGACUGGGAAGGUAGAGGUUGGUGGUGGGAGGGUCCCCUGAGAGAACGGUAGGGAUCUCACGGAACGCAGCAAAUCCAGGCUGUUUCUCUCCCAGUGCUCAAAGGCUCCUGACUGUGGAGAGCUAAAGCUGCCAGGAGCUGCCUGUGCUUGCCAAGUGGUUGCAGAUGUUUCCUCCCUACUGCUCUGACUUUGCCAGAGAUGGGCAUCUUGCUUUGUUGCCUGGGCUGGUCUUGAACUCCUGGGCUUAACUGAUCUUCCUGCCUCGGCCUCUCAAAUCACUGAGAUUACAGGUGUGAACCAGCAUGCCCAACUUAUUAUUGCAGGUUCUUGACCAAGUGGCCAGGGUGACUGCUGAGGAGCCAGAGAUGCAAACCCGGGGAUGCUGCAGCCUGAAGCAGGCCCGAGGAGGCCAGGGUCAGAGGGCCAGUCCUGCCAAUGAGGGCCUAGAUGGAGGGGUGAGGCCGUCUUCAGGACUACAGGCUUCACUCCCUAUCUCAGCAGUGAGCCUGGGCACACCCUAUCCCCAGGCUGGGCACCAGACUUUUGUCCCACUUCAGCAUGGGUCCAGGUGGCAUAGCAGACAGACCUGCCCUUUCCUGAUUCCGGCUGCUGUUAAGUACAUCUCACAGGCUACUGCGUCUGUGCCUUGGUUCCGCUGUCCCUGCCACCUGGGAUGUGCAGUCUGCCUUCUCUUUCUGUUAACAUCUUACCUACCCUUCAGCUCUACUGCAACUUCCCAAGAUCCCCCUGGGUCAGAAUGACUCCCACACCAACCAGACCUUGGGCACGUUACCUGACUCAAUGAGUCUCCGUUUACUUGCUUGCAUAUGGUGCUGUUUGUACCUACCUGUGGGUCCUAUGAGCAUUUGGUGAGAAAACUUAUACAAAAGUGCCCAGCAUGAUUUUAGCAUAUAAAUUAUCUCCUUAUGGUGAUACUUUUUUCCUCCAAUAAAAAAUUU